rnacentral:rRNA from 2 species
UGCAAGUCGAGCGGACAGAUGGGAGCUUGCUCCCUGAUGUUAGCGGCGGACGGGUGAGUAACACGUGGGUAACCUGCCUGUAAGACUGGGAUAACUCCGGGAAACCGGGGCUAAUACCGGAUGGUUGUUUGAACCGCAUGGUUCAGACAUAAAAGGUGGCUUCGGCUACCACUUACAGAUGGACCCGCGGCGCAUUAGCUAGUUGGUGAGGUAACGGCUCACCAAGGCAACGAUGCGUAGCCGACCUGAGAGGGUGAUCGGCCACACUGGGACUGAGACACGGCCCAGACUCCUACGGGAGGCAGCAGUAGGGAAUCUUCCGCAAUGGACGAAAGUCUGACGGAGCAACGCCGCGUGAGUGAUGAAGGUUUUCGGAUCGUAAAGCUCUGUUGUUAGGGAAGAACAAGUGCCGUUCAAAUAGGGCGGCACCUUGACGGUACCUAACCAGAAAGCCACGGCUAACUACGUGCCAGCAGCCGCGGUAAUACGUAGGUGGCAAGCGUUGUCCGGAAUUAUUGGGCGUAAAGGGCUCGCAGGCGGUUUCUUAAGUCUGAUGUGAAAGCCCCCGGCUCAACCGGGGAGGGUCAUUGGAAACUGGGGAACUUGAGUGCAGAAGAGGAGAGUGGAAUUCCACGUGUAGCGGUGAAAUGCGUAGAGAUGUGGAGGAACACCAGUGGCGAAGGCGACUCUCUGGUCUGUAACUGAUGCUGAGGAGCGAAAGCGUGGGGAGCGAACUGGAUUAGAUACCCUGGUAGUCCACUCCGUAAACGAUGAGUGC